CUCAGAAUAGGAAUACCAUUUUAUGUAUACAUACACAGAGUGUCAACAUCCGCUGCAGCACUUGACAAUAGGAAUAUAAAAUAACAAAUGGCAAAUAAAUGAAGACAAAUCGUAGAUAAGCAGAAUAAACAAAAAGGGCAGUAGCAGUUUCAGAGGCAUGUGCACACGCUGGUUCUGUGUGUUGUCAAAUAACAACAUUUCCGUUUUUGUGCCUAGGCUUUACAAAAUAUGGAAUGCUUUGCUGUUACUAUCAUAACAGGUAAAAUCAAACACACAAUAUUCAGCGCAGUGGGAUAUAUUAACCCUUUAUAAACUUGUGUAAGAGAGCAGAAGCAGCCUUGCAGA